rnacentral:rRNA from 1 species
UUGGAGGGCAAGUCUGGUGCCAGCAGCCGCGGUAAUUCCAGCUCCAAUAGCGUAUAUUAAAGUUGUUGCAGUUAAAAAGCUCGUAGUUGAAUUUCGGGGUUAGUAGGUUGGUCAUGCCUCUGGUAUGUACUGGUCUCACUGAUUCCUCCUUCCUGAUGAGCCGUAAUGCCAUUAAUUUGGUGUUGCGGGGAAUUUGGACUGUUACUUUGAAAAAAUUAGAGUGUUUAAAGCAAGCUAACGCUUGAAUACAUUAGCAUGGAAUAAUGAAAUAGGACGUUCGAUCCUAUUUUGUUGGUUUCUAGGAUUGACGUAAUGAUUAAUAGGGAUAGUUGGGGGCAUUAGUAUUCAAUUGUCAGAGGUGAAAUUCUUGGAUUUAUUGAAGACUAACUACUGCGAAAGCAUUUGCCAAGGAUGUUUUCAUUAAUCAAGAACGAAAGUUAGGGGAUCGAAGACGAUCAGAUACCGUCGUAGUCUUAACCAUAAACUAUGCCGACUAGGGAUCGGAUGAUGUUAUUUUUAAUGACUCAUUCGGCGCCUUACGGGAAAC